GUUUAAUUUUUUUUGUUCCUUUCACCUUGCAGUUACUUGGAUAAAAUAUUACAUUCAAAGAUUAUAAAAGAGUUUGUAUAAUAACAAAAACAAGGGCAAGGCCAGAAAGGGAACUCAAUCCCAGUCCUUUUUCCCCCUCAUUCCUAUUAGUUGUGCACAGGUGUAUGUAUUGGAUUUGUCAGAGGCAACGAGACACAUGCAUUAGAAAAAAUGCCAGCUCUGAAGACCUCCUUCAAUUCGUUAAUGAUCCUUCCGCAGGUUCACCUACGGAAA
rnacentral:misc_RNA from 1 species